UUAGUAAUAAAAUCUGCUCAGUGACAAUUAAACAGCCGCAACUUAGUGCUAAGGUAGCAUAAUCAUUUGUCUUUUAAAUGAAGACUAGAACAAAAGAUUUAACAUUUUAAUUAAUUUAUUUAUAAAAUCAUUUAAAUUUUUUCAAAAGUAAAAAAACUUUUAUUCUUAAAAAAGACGACAAGACCCUAUUGAACUUAACUUAAGUUAAACUGGGGCAGUAAAUUAAUUAUUAUUUUAAUAAAACUAAAUAUAAAAAAAGCCAUAAAAUUGAUAACUCAGUUACCAUAGGGAUAACAGCGUAAUUAUAUUCUAGAGACCUUAUCCUAAAAAUAGAUUGCGACCUCGAUGUUGAAUUAAUAACCUAAUUAAAGCAAGAUUUAAUUAAGGAAGUCUGUUCGACUUUUAAAAAAUCACAUGAUUUGAGUUCAGACCGGUGUGAGCCAGGUCGGUUUCUAUCUUUUUUAAAAAAAUUUACAGUACGAAAGGACCUAAAUACUUAAUUUCAUUAAAAAUUUGGCAGAUUAAUGCAUUAGAAUUAGAAUCUAAUAAAACUUAU
rnacentral:rRNA from 1 species